GCAUUCCACUGCGCCUGCGUAAUCCCGCGUCGUCGCCCCGAGCAACAGGCGCCGCGCCCCAACAGGUCUCGCGGGACUAGCCUCAACGCGCGCCGGUGCGGCCACACCUCCGCCGAGGCCCCAGAGCCAGGCGCCUGAGCAAAGGCUGGACCCAGGCUGAAGGGGAAUAGAGCCAAGAAGGAUGACUCUGCCAGGUGGGCAAGAAGGUGACAAGGGAAUAGCCAGGCUCCAGUGCCCUCAAGGGAUUCAGUGAACGUCUGAUAGGGACCAACCCAGGAGUCCCCAAAUCCAUCCAUCUGGCAAGCCUCCAGGAAACUGUCUUCGAGUGACUCCUCAGCACAUUGUCACCAGCUGCUGUCUGGACGGUUCUUGUUCUCUUCUCCCUAAGGCAGUGGAUAGGAACUUUUACCUUUGUUCCUCACACUGGGCAUAGCCCAGAUAUCACAAAAUAGAGGAGUUCGGUAUGCUCAUUAUAUCUUUAAAGCUCUCACCUUUUUUAAAAAAUGAAAUUUAGUCUGAUCACAUUGUCUAGGCUGCCUUCCAACUCCUGGAUUGAAGAGUACCUGGGAGGUGGGCAUGGUGGGGCAUAUCUAUAACUCCAGCAUUCUGGAAGACUGAGAUAGGAGGAUCACUGUGAGCUCAAGGCCAGUCUGGGCUACAAAGUGAGUUUAAGCCAGCCUGAACUGCAUAGUGAAACCCUGUCUCAAAAAAUAAUAAUAAUAAUAAUAACAAAGCUGGGUGUGAUGGCACACUUCUGUAAUCCCAGCACACAGAAGGCUGAGGCAGGACGAUUGUUGCAAGUUAGAAACCAGUUUGGUCUCUAAGUGAGCCUCAGGCUACAAAGUGAGCCUGAGGCCAGUCUAAACUGCAUAGUGAGAUCCUGUCUCAAAAAAGACCAAACCAAACCAAACAAAACAAAUACAAAGUAAGCUCAAGCCCAGCCUGAACUGCAGAGUGAGACCCUGUCUCAAAAUAUACACCAAUAAAUAAAUAAAUAAGGCAUUUUUUUUUUG